CGGAAAACCUCGAGGAUAGAGUUACGCUGAAGGUGUUCCGAAGGACCGUGUGAAUGAAACUCCAACAUAUGUUGAAUCUAAGGACAGUUCAAUCAAUAUCAGUGAGAUGAUUGGAGUUAAAGGCAUAGUGCUACUACUGUGUACGGCGUGUGCCAUCGCAAAGUCUAAAAGUGACAGAGCUCGAUCAGCAAGAUGGAUUUCAGGGAAAGCCCUCAGGACAAUAGUAGAGGAAUACUCAGAUCUCACCGAAUUUAAAGAACUUGUCCGACCCAUUCUCAUCCCUAGAAUGCCAGAUACAGAGGGCAGUACUCGAGUCAGAAAUUAUCUUGUCAACUUUCUGCGGCUCUUAACUGGCACAUUGAGGAAGAUGUCUUUCAGGAUGACACACCGUGGGGCAGGAAGACAUUUGUCAACAUCAUAGCAACGCAAGACCCGAGGAAGCCAAAGAAAAUGGUUCUAGCUUCCCAUUAUGACUCUAAGAAUAUCACAGACAGAAACGGGAGAGAGUUUAUAGGGGCUACAGACUCUGCCGUGCCCUGUGCAAUUCUCCUGGAUUUAGCUAUACAACUAAACUGUUUGUUUGAAAAAGCCCAGGGAGAAAAGGCUCGUGACAUUACCCCACAGAUUGUUUUCUUUGAUGGGGAGGAGGCAUACAACACAUGGUCAGCAACAGAUUCCAUCUACGGAGCACGACACCUCGCCCAAAAAUGGGAGCAAGAGAACAAACUACAAGAUAUCGAUAUCUUUGUUCUCUUGGAUUUGAUUGGAACCAGUGAUGUCCAGUUCCACAACUUUUUUCCACAAACAUCCAAUGCUUUUGAACUUCUGGCAAGGAAAGAACAGCAUCUGAAAAAAGAUAAACUGCUAAGUGACAACAACAGAAUUCUGUUCAACACACACCCUUACUAUGGGGGAGGUAUUGAAGAUGAUCAUAUUCCAUUUUUACACCGAAACGUUCCCAUCCUCCACCUUAUAUCAGCACCAUUUCCUAGUGUUUGGCACAGAAUGAGUGACGAUGCCGCCCACAUAGAUUAUCACACGACGGAAGACUUCAACAAGGUCUUCCGAGUGUUUGUUGCCAGCUAUCUACACCUCGAUGCCUUACAUACCCAGUGCAGAAGAAAAAAGUAAUGGAAGUUUUUUAGAUUGAGCAAUCACAACCAUAUAUGUUAAAGAAUAACAUCUGAUGUACAGAAACUGAGAAAUUUAAAAAGGGCAAUAUUCAUUAUUGUAAAUGGCACAGAUAUCUAUCUGUCUUUUCCAGAUUAUUAAGAGAUACUGUGCAAUGGUUUAUGUACAAACAAAGAUAGAAUCAAAAUUUGUGCUCAAUAUUUAGACCUUUAAGCAUUUGAUGGUACAUAUACCUUUUACAUCUGGAAUAGGCUAGUUUCUGUGUAUCAUUUCUUAGAAAUUUGUACAGUCCUGUUUUUAACAGAAUUGCCACCUGAAGUUUUUAAAUUUUUCCUAAAAUGUGGUUGUGGUUUUGACAUGUACAUCAGUCAAUGAAAUUGAAGUGUCUACGAAUUUCUUGUGCCAAAUUAUCCAGAUAAGAGAUAAAAUAAUUUUUUUUUAGGUUUAUGUGUGUUAAUAGUAUACAUUCAUUCAGGCCAUCCUAAAAAAAAAAAUAUUUGUUUGGAAUUGCCACCUUGGGGUUUUCAGACCCAGGGGGGAGGGAGGGAAUUUUUUUUAUCUUUCAGACUUGAAGUUUAAUUAAAAAUUGGUAAGAAAAAAAAUCUCCUUAUUAAAAAAAAGUUGUUUAUUUUUUGCUAAUAACAUUUUAUCAGCGGGGAUAUUUCAAUGAGGCGAAAGGCAAUUCCAAACAAUUAAUAAUUUUAUUUUGGCCCCAGAUGAGUAUUAAUAUGUAUAAAAUAGUUUUGUUAUCAGUUUUUAAAAAUUGUAUAGCUUUUGUUGCUCAUUAUUUAUCUUUGAAAAAUUUGUUUGGUACAUAUUAUGUUUCAUAAUUUAAGCUUUAGUUUGGGAUUAUACGAUAUAGUAUAUUUUUUAUUCACAUUUUAAUUUUUGAAAGAGACAAGAUGGAUUUUGCUUUAAUUUCAUGCAUAUGUUUUUGUUCAUUUGCCAUAAUGUAUAAGAAAAUUUUUUCUCUCCCCUCCAUAAAGUUGGUAUAAUAAAGUAACAUAACACAAGAUGGUUCUUUUGUACUAAUUGAUUUAUUAUAUAAAGUCAGUAAUGUAUACUAAUAUAUAUAUGUUACAGAGAGGAAUUAUGAUAUGAAAGGUGGUGGGGAAUCAACAAAAGCAAUAUGGGAGAUCUUUCAAUUAAACCUCUUCAUUUGAUAACUGAAUUAUUCAUUUGUUUUUCGUUGAUAGAGUUUUUAUUUUAUCCCACCUGAGAAAAAGGUGAAAUUGUCCACAGUGGUUUGAGUAUCAUAUUCAGUGGUAUACUAGUCUCAUCAUUUUGAUUUUUCAAGUUCAAAUUUUUCUCAAAUGGUACAUAAAUGUGCAGAGUGCACAGUCAUAAAUUGGUUUUUCAGAAUUCCUUACCAGUAGUUUAAACUGUUGAAUAAAAAUAGUGAGGAAUAUAUUCAAAAACGUGUUCAUGGAUGCACAGUAUAUAUGAGGCUCCUCUUCAUCUGCUAUGAUUUAAAUUGUUGUACAUGUCUCUUAUUGAUGUAAAGAAUUUGUUUCAUGUGGAAUCAAGUAUAUCUACUGUUACAGUAUUUUCAAAAUAUUAAGACAGUUUGUCAUUUCAGUUUAAUUACCUCAUUCAUCUCAUUGGUUUGUCUCUAGUCUAUGGCAUUUACAUUUUGAAUAUUAUUUUUCCCAUUAGCAUCUGAUUAUAUUAACCAUUACCUGGUACGUGUAUAUGGAAAUGUCUCUGAUUUAGCAUAUCUAUUGCAAUGUGAUACAUAUUGAUGAACUAUAGAGUUGAUGUGCAAAGUAAUUUCAUUUAAAUAAAUAAGAUUUAUCACCUCAUCAGGUAAAGGGAAAGAAAACUAAUAUUAUUGUUUUAUAUACAUGUAAUAAAAGAAUUUUCAUUUUUGGGAAAAAUAUUUACAUCAUUUAAAAAGAUAUCCGCAUUAAUUCCUGUGAAAAAAAGUUUAUUAUUUUACAAAUAUGGUACAUUGUAUACAAUGCAUACCGUUACUGGUAAAUCAAUUUUUAUCUCAGAAUUAUUUUUAACGUUAUUUGUUGUCAGUAUAGAGACUGUGAAACUUGAUUUCUUUUAUACACGAAAGUUUGUCCUUUUGUGUCCCUACAGUGUCAAAGAAGCAUGCAAUGUUAUAUAUAUCCGAUAUUAGUACAAUCCAGCGCAAUCUCAGCAGCAAGAUACUGAGAUUUUACUUUUAAAAGAUAUUUGUUGUACUUAAUAAAACUAAUUAUCUAUAUCAAUUUGGUAACACUUGACCAAACUGUAUAGGCUUGCCAUAUUUUUGUCCUUUAGCUACUCGGAACAUUUCAGUAUCAGUUUGUUCAUUAAAAGAAUCUGCAAGUUGACUAAUUAGGUAUGUGUCUUGAUGUUCCAUAAAUCCUCUUCUCUGGUUUCAUCAGUAUUCAUUGGCACAAAUUUUCACAGAUUUUGCAAAAUGUACAAUUUUGAAUGAUAUGUAAAUGAGUGAAAAAUUGACAUGUCCUGCCCAUUACAAAUGUCCUGUUUCUUACUUCAAUACACAUUUGAUUUUGUGGAUCCAUUUAACAGCAAAAGCCACGAUAAUUUGUGUUUAAUGACUAAUGAUGAAACCAAAAUAGUAUAUCAUGCUCACAAACAUUGAUCUUGAAGACAUAAGCAAGAACUCAGUAAUUUUUUAAGGCUUCACAGUUUAUACCGGUAUAUACAUGUAUACAUAGAUACUGGUGCAUUGGGGUACAACCUUACUUCAUCUACAGUGCAAUUAGGUUACCUAUAUGAUUUAUUAUUUUUAUCAGUCAUGAAUUGUAUGAAAUAUUUCUGUUAAUUAAUAAAUUAGAUUGCAAUAAU
rnacentral:sRNA from 1 species